GAGACCACAUAGGCAAUAAUAUAUUUUGGUAUAAUUAUAAUUAAUUUUUUAACCUUGGAUAUAUUGGACGUCUCUUUCUUCUUCUUGCCUCCUCCUAUGCUUCUUCUUCACGCAUCCUUCUCACCUUUGCAAGUGGGUUCCGAUAUUUGGUUGACGACUUAAAUGGAGGAGACGACGUUUGCCAUUGAUCUGACACUUACAAAUCGUCGGAAUCCCUGAUUCCCACCGUCGACUGCUUCCCCAUCGGUGAUUUCACCAUCUGUUUUUCCAGAACAGGUCGAAGCUUCAAUUUGUGUAAAUUUUUUGCUGAAAAGGUCUUUCAGUCAUUCUCCAUUGUCCCUUUCUAUGAACUCCUUCCAUACCUCAAGUUCUUCGGCUUCACAUACCACAAACAGAUUAAGUAAAUAAUUUGGUAUCCGAUUUGUGUUCUCUUUCAAGAACCCAUAUGAACGACUGGUUUAUGAUUUACGAUUUCUGGAACUACUAAGGAGACUGACGUUGCAGGUCAGAUUCAUCUGACUUGGAGACAGAUUUUUGGGUUGUUGUUUAUUUCUAGUUUCCGGUUAAGAUUGCCAAUACGAGGGCAUUACUAGAGGCAGAGGUGAAUAUUUGAUUUUUUAAAUUUUAAAAUAUUUAAAAAAAGCCACCUAAGCAAAGGUAACCGGUGAAACCGUUUAAUUUUUUGAAAAAUGAUGUAAUUAGAAGGUAAAAAUGGAGUUUAGUGGUCUAAUGUACCACAAAAAAAAACCUUAGUGAUCAAACUAGACAAUUAUCAAAACUUUGAUGUGCUACAUACGGUGUCAUUUUUCCAUUUUUUUUUGAUGAUAUGAAAAAAUUGACAAUUUUCUAUUUUUUUUUUAUGAUAUGAAAAAACUGACAAGUGUAAGUUAUAUUUUUCAAAUGAAAAAAUAUAAAAGACAAAAACAAAAGACUUUAAUUAGAUAUUUACAAACUUAUUUUUUUAAAUUUAUUGUAAUUAGUGUUUUAUGAUUUUAUUGGAAUUUAAUAAAACCAAAUAGCUUAUUGUAGCUUAUUUUUUAAUAAAUUAUCUAUAAUAAAUUAUUAAUAAAUUAGCUUUUCAACCACCUCACUAAAUAAUGCUUAAAUAGUUAGAUUAACCACCAUUAAGAAUUCAAGAUAGCUCAAGAUAUAUAAAUAAUAAAAUGGUUCAAUGGUUAAAUUCUAUAAUCUUCAAUUUUAGAAAACCAUUUUAAGAAAAUAGUUAAAUCUAACUUUAUGAUGCUUGAAUCAUGCAAGAAAAUAUGGUUUGAUAUUUGGUUUAUAUGGUAUAUUUAAAUUGGUUUGAUAUUUGGUUUAUAUGGUAUAUUUAAAAUGGUCUAGCUAUUCUAACACUUAGAUUUUUCUUUUCAAAGAAUUCUCUAUUUCUAAUGGUUUGUGGUACAUAAAAUACAUUGUAAAGAAAAGAGUAGCGUAGACAAGUAAUGAAAAUCUCUCUCGGUCUAUGAUACCUAAAUGGAAGAAAAUUCGGAUCAAACCCUUAUUUAUCUUUAACCUAGGUUAAUUUACUUCGCCUAAAAAGAGCAAAACGGAUCAAACUCUUAUUCUUAUUAUUGCUGAUUUUAUUUUUGUUAGGUUUAAGUCCGACGAGAAUAAUAUUCUACCACUAACAAUUCAUUUGUUUUCAAACCGACCGCCUUAUUAUCUAUUAUUUAAUUGACUUAUUCUUUAUAUUGUAAUGGUUGAAUAGUCAAAUGGUUUGACAAUUCUUCAUGGAGAAUUUGUCGAUGCAUUUGAUUGAAUAUUGCAUUUUUGGUUCAGAUUUUUGAGUUUUAUCGGUUUUGAUCAUGUGUUUUUAAUUUUUGCACUCCACCCUUUUUAACUUUAUUUCUUUUGUUAAAUAUUAGUGAAAAUACUAUUUUACCAUUGGACCAAAAUUGCAAUUAUUUUUUCAAAAAACUCCAUUAUUCCAUUUUCAAUGAACUUUAGGAGAACAAUUCAAAUUCAAGGAUACAAUGUUAUUUAGAAAAUUUUCUGAUUCCUAAAAUUUUCAUUCAGAAAAUCCUAAUCCUAAAAUUUUCAUUCAGAAAAUCCUAAUCAUGUAUGUAAUGUAUCACAAGAAACCAAAGAUUGCAUUUGGAAAAUAUAACAUUAAUUUCUCUUUCGAUUUCAAUCCUAUGCCAACCAUUCAUUUUAGAUAAGGAUAAACCAUUACAUUGUUAGUCUAAUAAAAAUAUUUAACCUAUUUGUUUGGUUGGAUAUAUAUAUAUAUAUAUAUAUAUAUAUAUAUAUAUAUAUAUAUAUAUAUAUAUAUAUAUAUAUAUAUAUAUAUAUAUAUAUAUAUAUAUAUAUUUGUUGCAGCGACCAUAAUUCCAAAUUUUUUAUAAAGUAAAUAGUUCUUUUAAAACACCAUAUAAUAGACUGUAAGGUCUAUUUUAUCAUAUUCAAAAGAUUGUACUAUAGACAUUCAACCAGUGGCCAUGUGACCCUAUUCCGCUAGAGAAUACGAAGGCUACCUCGAAUAUCAAAGGAUAGAUCCAAGUGACAAGGUGAUCAUGUGCCAGAAGAACUAUGCAAAUGACGAGUUUGGAGUACGUUCUGCUAUUCAUAAUGAAUAUCUGCUUUACUUGAUGAGACACUUGGUAUGUUUUUAAUAUUUAACCAAGACUUUCUGCAAGUCAAGUUUAAUUGUUCCAAUAUGACCAUACAAAUGAUACCGAAUGUUCUUCAAAAGGACCGCAAUGACUUGCAUUUUAAGAAAAUGUUUUGUAUAUAUGUUUUACAAAUAUGGUUAUAAAAAAACAUGGUCUCAUGAAUAUUGCAUGCA